GGCAGGUGGUGUCAGAAGGCAAUAGUUUCUUGCCAUCCAUAUAUACCUUACUGGAUGAGUGCCCUCUAGUGGAGAUCACAAAGAAUAUGCAACACCAGAGGUUAAAAAGAGACACCAGGCCUGCGUGCUAUCUACCUAUCUGUUGCUGCUGCGUGUGAAGCCCAAUUGCCUCUGUAUGGUGUGAGGGACGGAAAGCAAGGCUCAGUACAAGAGCUGGCAACAGUGCAUUUGCCUGUUACUGGAAAUUUUAAUGAAGCAAAAAUAAAGGUAUUUUCAAAUGCCUCAA